rnacentral:rRNA from 6 species
UUAAAUUGAAGAGUUUGAUCAUGGCUCAGAUUGAACGCUGGCGGCAGGCCUAACACAUGCAAGUCGAACGGUAACAGGAAGCAGCUUGCUGCUUUGCUGACGAGUGGCGGACGGGUGAGUAAUGUCUGGGAAACUGCCUGAUGGAGGGGGAUAACUACUGGAAACGGUGGCUAAUACCGCAUAACGUCGCAAGACCAAAGAGGGGGACCUUCGGGCCUCUUGCCAUCAGAUGUGCCCAGAUGGGAUUAGCUAGUUGGUGAGGUAACGGCUCACCAAGGCGACGAUCCCUAGCUGGUCUGAGAGGAUGACCAGCCACACUGGAACUGAGACACGGUCCAGACUCCUACGGGAGGCAGCAGUGGGGAAUAUUGCACAAUGGGCGCAAGCCUGAUGCAGCCAUGCCGCGUGUAUGAAGAAGGCCUUCGGGUUGUAAAGUACUUUCAGCGGGGAGGAAGGUGUUGUGGUUAAUAACCGCAGCAAUUGACGUUACCCGCAGAAGAAGCACCGGCUAACUCCGUGCCAGCAGCCGCGGUAAUACGGAGGGUGCAAGCGUUAAUCGGAAUUACUGGGCGUAAAGCGCACGCAGGCGGUCUGUCAAGUCGGAUGUGAAAUCCCCGGGCUCAACCUGGGAACUGCAUUCGAAACUGGCAGGCUUGAGUCUUGUAGAGGGGGGUAGAAUUCCAGGUGUAGCGGUGAAAUGCGUAGAGAUCUGGAGGAAUACCGGUGGCGAAGGCGGCCCCCUGGACAAAGACUGACGCUCAGGUGCGAAAGCGUGGGGAGCAAACAGGAUUAGAUACCCUGGUAGUCCACGCCGUAAACGAUGUCUACUUGGAGGUUGUGCCCUUGAGGCGUGGCUUCCGGAGCUAACGCGUUAAGUAGACCGCCUGGGGAGUACGGCCGCAAGGUUAAAACUCAAAUGAAUUGACGGGGGCCCGCACAAGCGGUGGAGCAUGUGGUUUAAUUCGAUGCAACGCGAAGAACCUUACCUGGUCUUGACAUCCACAGAACUUUCCAGAGAUGGAUUGGUGCCUUCGGGAACUGUGAGACAGGUGCUGCAUGGCUGUCGUCAGCUCGUGUUGUGAAAUGUUGGGUUAAGUCCCGCAACGAGCGCAACCCUUAUCCUUUGUUGCCAGCGAUUAGGUCGGGAACUCAAAGGAGACUGCCAGUGAUAAACUGGAGGAAGGUGGGGAUGACGUCAAGUCAUCAUGGCCCUUACGACCAGGGCUACACACGUGCUACAAUGGCGCAUACAAAGAGAAGCGACCUCGCGAGAGCAAGCGGACCUCAUAAAGUGCGUCGUAGUCCGGAUUGGAGUCUGCAACUCGACUCCAUGAAGUCGGAAUCGCUAGUAAUCGUGGAUCAGAAUGCCACGGUGAAUACGUUCCCGGGCCUUGUACACACCGCCCGUCACACCAUGGGAGUGGGUUGCAAAAGAAGUAGGUAGCUUAACCUUCGGGAGGGCGCUUACCACUUUGUGAUUCAUGACUGGGGUGAAGUCGUAACAAGGUAACCGUAGGGGAACCUGCGGUUGGAUCACCUCCUUACCUUAAAGAA